GUAGUUAUGCAGUAGGUGUAGUUUGAGUAGUUUUAGUAGUUAUGCAGUAGGUGUAGUUUGAGUAGUUAUGCAGUAGGUGUAGUUUGAGUAGUUAUGCAGUAGGUGUAGUUUGAGUAGUUUUGCAGUAGGUGUAGUUUGAGUAGUUUUAGUAGUUAUGCAGUAGGUGUAGUUUGAGUAGUUAUGCAGUAGGUGUAGUUUGACUAGUUAUGCAGUAGGUGUAGUUUGAGUAGUUUUAGUAGUUAUGCAGUAGGUGUAGUUUCAGUAGUUAUGCAGUAGGUGUAGUUUGCUUAGUUUUAGU